GAUGAGUCCCUACAGUAACACUAAUAUUGCAAGAAAGGUCUCAUUUAGCACCAGAAUGAUCUACUAAGUGAAAGUAAAAGAUAACACAACACUCGGGGUCUAUCUGUAAAUACCCGAACAAAGACGGCCUUGCACGGUCGCACUCGCACCACCAAAUUCGCCGACGCCGCAUAGGUCUCUCCACCGGUCGCCGACGAGCAGCGCUAGGGAGGAGUCAAGGAGAAGAUGGGUGGCGGGAUGGAGGUGCACAAGAACCGGUGGAUCGAGGAGUGGAACGCCGGCCGCGAGAACCUCGAGUUCAACUUCCGCUGGACGCGCCGCAGCCUCGCCGUCGUCGGCCUCUUCGGUCUCGCCGUCCCCAUCCUCGUCUACAAGGGCAUCGUUCGCGAAUUCCACAUGCAAGAUGAGGAUGCGGGAAGACCGUUGAGGAAGUUCUUGUAACCUGAAGAAUCAUGCUCAUUUUGUUUCAAGAAAUAAAUGUUUUGGCCAGAUCUUGGCAAUUUCAACAUGAGAAACAUAAUUAUACUCAGUUUUCUGUAAGCACUUUUUUAAGUUGUUGUGCUUUGUUCCAAGUGUUUCUUUCAAGAACCUAUGUACCAUCUUUAUGUCAAACUAUGCCUAUGGGCAUCCAUUAUUCUUUUCCUCCCAAAAGGAGAGUAUGUAAUUUUGUGGUUGUGCUUGUGGGUUCUGGUUC